GAUUACUAUUUGCAUAAAAAUCGGUUCGAUUUAAACUACUGACUUUUGUACCAAUUAUAAAUUCGAAAAUAAAAGUAUUGUAUCAAUUCCGGUUCCGUUUCACUCAUACCAAUUAUCAUUUUCAUUUAAGUCUCAAUUAAAACAACGAACGAUAUUAAAGACAGUUAGAAAUCUCUUAAAUAUUUUAAUGUAAUAAAGAAUUUAAAAAUAUUUACAAAAUUCGUAAAUGAUGAAGAUGAAAAUCUUUAUGUAAGUUGUGCAUGUGUUGGUGGAAAUCAGCCAAUUGUGACAAGAAUUUCUUAAAGUAAAUCUUGCAAAAAGAAAACAAUGAAGGGGUUAGCUGUAUUGAUGAUUUUUGUUGUUUUGCUGUUUUUUCUUUGGGAGCAUUGCGUUGUACGUGACAGUAAUGAUGAUGAUGAUGAUGACGACGACUUAGAUGACGUUGAUGAAGAGGAUUAUGACUACGAUGAUGAAGUGGAAGAGAAUAAUCAUGAUGAUGGUGAUGAAGACGAUGAUAAUGACAAUGAUGACGAUAAUCCAGAAUGCUUUCUCAUUUUGUAUGAUUGUAAAGGGUGUUGAAAAACAGAUUAUAGAAAGGUUCUUGAUGGUUGAGUAAAUGUUUAAUGGGGACAACUGAUCUUCGAUGACGUGAUUUUGAAUAAAGCGACUUUUGAUUGCAGUUCAUAGAAUAACGCUAUAAAUCCUUGUAUAUUAAACAUUUUUAUGAUAAAAGUAGAGAAUUUACAUGUUUGGCUACUUUUUAAAACGAAAGUUUAUUUUAAUUUUACUAUAAGAAUGUAUUCUGUAUGCAUUUUGUAUGUAACUUAACUAUUUUCGUAAAAUUUAAUAAUAA